rnacentral:rRNA from 1 species
CCUACGGGAGGCAGCAGUGGGGAAUUUUGGACAAUGGGCGAAAGCCUGAUCCAGCCAUGCCGCGUGCAGGAUGAAGGCCUUCGGGUUGUAAACUGCUUUUGUACGGAACGAAAAGGUCUUUUUUAAUAAAGAGGGCCCAUGACGGUACCGUAAGAAUAAGCACCGGCUAACUACGUGCCAGCAGCCGCGGUAAUACGUAGGGUGCAAGCGUUAAUCGGAAUUACUGGGCGUAAAGCGUGCGCAGGCGGUUAUAUAAGACAGUUGUGAAAUCCCCGGGCUCAACCUGGGAACUGCAUCUGUGACUGUAUAGCUAGAGUACGGUAGAGGGGGAUGGAAUUCCGCGUGUAGCAGUGAAAUGCGUAGAUAUGCGGAGGAGCACCGAUGGCGAAGGCAAUCCCCUGGACCUGUACUGACGCUCAUGCACGAAAGCGUGGGGAGCAAACAGGAUUAGAUACCCUGGUAGUCCACGCCCUAAACGAUGUCAACUGGUUGUUGGGUCUUCACUGACUCAGUAACGAAGCUAACGCGUGAAGUUGACCGCCUGGGGAGUACGGCCGCAAGGUUGAAACUCAAANAGAGUAGAGCGNGAGAGUGCGACGGACGACGACGAGGGAGGAGG